rfam:Dipodomys ordii contig_13721, whole genome shotgun sequence.
GGUGGCUCAGUGGUAGAGUGCUUGCCUGGCAUGCAUGAGGCCCUGAGUAGGAUUCCUCAGCACCA